AAAAAAUUACAAAGAUCUUUUCAAUCAAAUGAAUUGGCCUUCUGCAAGCCGAGAGAGGCCUCGAGAGACCCUCCCUCCCAGCCCUCAGAAUGAAUGAAUCACCCUGUUGACACCUUGAUCAUGGACUUCCGGCUCCUAAAACUGUGAGAAAACAAAUGCCUGUUGCUUAAGCUGAGCAAUCUGUGGUGCUUUGAUAUAGCAACCCUGGCAAACUCAUACAUGAGUUAUCUCGAAGUUUGCAUUUCGAAACUGCAUCAUUCCCACAUCUGUG
rnacentral:lncRNA from 1 species